UACGUAGGGGGCUAGCGUUGUCCGGAAUCAUUGGGCGUAAAGCGCGCGUAGGCGGCCCGGUAAGUCCGCUGUGAAAGUCAAAGGCUCAACCAUUGAAUGUCAGCGGAUACUGCCGGGCUAGAGUCCGGAAGAGGCGAGUGGAAUUCCUGGUGUAGCGGUGAAAUGCGCAGAUAUCAGGAGGAACACCUAUUGCGAAGGCAGCUCGCUGGGACGUAACUGACGCUGAGACGCGAAAGCGUGGGGAGCAAACAGG
rnacentral:rRNA from 1 species